rnacentral:rRNA from 1 species
UACGAAGGGGGCUAGCGUUGUUCGGAAUUACUGGGCGUAAAGCGCACAUAGGCGGCGCAGCAAGUUAGAUGUGAAAUGCCUGGGCUUAACCUAGGAACUGCAUUUAAGACUGCUGUGCUAGAGACCGGGAGAGGGUGGCGGAAUUCCCAGUGUAGAGGUGAAAUUCGUAGAUAUUGGGAAGAACACCGGUUGCGAAGGCGGCCACCUGGACCGGCACUGACGCUGAGGUGCGAAAGCGUGGGGAGCAAACAGG